rnacentral:lncRNA from 1 species
UCCUUUUGCAUUUUCUGUUUCUUUUCAUCAUCUAGUUCUUUCUUUGAAAAUCUAUUAUAACAAGUUUAUAUUUUAUUUUUAUUUUUCUCUUUAUAUUUCUUUUAGUUCUGUGUUUAUUUUGAACAUUCUAUGUAUUAAUGUAUAAUUGGUUUUGACCUGGUACCUUCAUAGGAGCAUUCAACUGGGAGACAAUCAUAGAUUCUAAUAUGGAAUCUGCCAUUAAUUGGCUUAUGAAAUUGGGAAAAUAAAUUUAUAUGGGCCUAAGUUUGUUCAUCUGUGUAAUGAAAAUGAUGGAUUACUGUGUAGCAGGCAGCAAGACUGAAGAUGACAGAUACAGUACCUUGUCCUAAGAAGCUUACAGUGUAGUAGGGAAGAAAAUUGGAAAACAAACUCUUAGAAUAUAGUUUGGUAACAGAUGUGAUACUCUUUCCCAUAUGCAUAAAGGGAUUGUGCUUAAACUGAGUCUUAAAGGAUGUGUCUGAAUUAUCAUAGUAAAGGCGUGGAACAUUAUAAUUCCUUUCAGGGAGAAUAGCAUGUGUAAAG